rnacentral:rRNA from 1 species
AACACAUGCAGUCGAGCGGAAAGCCCCUUCGGGGGUACUUCGAGCGGCGAACGGGUGAGUAACACGUGAGUAAUCUGCCCCUACUCUGGGGAAUAGCUCCGGGAAACCGGGAUAUACCGGAUACGACCACCUUAGACAUACUUGUGGUGGUGAAAGAAUUUCGGCUAGGGAUGAGCUCGCGGCCAAUCAGCUUGUGGGUGGGGUACCGGCUACCAAGGCGACGAGGGUAGCCGGCCUGAGAGGGCGACGGCACACUGGGACUGAGACACGGCCCAGACUUCCUACGGGAGGCAGCAGUGGGGAAUAUUGCGCAAUGGGCGAAAGCCUGACGCAGCGACGGCCGCGUGGGGGAUGAAGGCCUUCGGGUUGUAAACCCCCUUUUCAGCAGGGACCCGAAGCGAACA